rnacentral:snoRNA from 7 species
UUUUGGAGAUGAUGAUUCUUAUCAGAGAUAGAGGUUGUUUCCAAGGGGAGCCAAGAGCUUUCCCUUUGCUGGAAGACCGUUGAUUGUUGUUCUGAUCCAAAA